GACGAACGCUGGCGGCGUGCUUAACACAUGCAAGUCGAACGGAAAGGCCCUGCUUGCAGGGUACUCGAGUGGCGAACGGGUGAGUAACACGUGGGUGAUCUGCCCUGCACUUCGGGAUAAGCCUGGGAAACUGGGUCUAAUACCGGAUAGGAGCCAUUUUUAGUGUGAUGGUUGGAAAGUUUUUUCGGUGUAGGAUGAGCUCGCGGCCUAUCAGCUUGUUGGUGGGGUAAUGGCCUACCAAGGCGGCGACGGGUAGCCGGCCUGAGAGGGUGGACGGCCACAUUGGGACUGAGAUAAGGCCCAGACUCCUACGGGAGGCAGAAGUGGGGAAGAUUGCACAAUGGGCGCAAGCCUGAUGCAGCGACGCCGCGUGGGGGAUGACGGCCUUCGGGUUGUAAACUCCUUUCGCUAGGGACGAAGCUUUUUGUGACGGUACCUAGAUAAGAAGCACCGGCUAACUACGUG
rnacentral:rRNA from 1 species